AUGAACGCUAGCUACAGGCUUAACACAUGCAAGUCGAGGGGCAGCAUUUUAGUUUGCUUGCAAACUGAAGAUGGCGACCGGCGCACGGGUGAGUAACACGUAUCCAACCUGCCGAUAACUCCGGAAUAGCCUUUCGAAAGAAAGAUUAAUACCGGAUAGUAUACGAAUAUCGCAUGAUAUUUUUAUUAAAGAAUUUCGGUUAUCGAUGGGGAUGCGUUCCAUUAGUUUGUUGGCGGGGUAACGGCCCACCAAGACUAUGAUGGAUAGGGGUUCUGAGAGGAAGGUCCCCCACAUUGGAACUGAGACACGGUCCAAACUCCUACGGGAGGCAGCAGUGAGGAAUAUUGGUCAAUGGGCGAGAGCCUGAACCAGCCAAGUAGCGUGAAGGAUGAAGGCUCUAUGGGUCGUAAACUUCUUUUAUAUGGGAAUAAAGUUUUCCACGUGUGGAAUUUUGUAUGUACCAUAUGAAUAAGGAUCGGCUAACUCCGUGCCAGCAGCCGCGGUAAUACGGAGGAUCCGAGCGUUAUCCGGAUUUAUUGGGUUUAAAGGGAGCGUAGGUGGAUUGUUAAGUCAGUUGUGAAAGUUUGCGGCUCAACCGUAAAAUUGCAGUUGAAACUGGGAGUCUUGAGUACAGUAGAGGUGGGCGGAAUUCGUGGUGUAGCGGUGAAAUGCUUAGAUAUCACGAAGAACUCCGAUUGCGAAGGCAGCUCACUAGACUGUCACUGACACUGAUGCUCGAAAGUGUGGGUAUCAAACAGGAUUAGAUACCCUGGUAGUCCACACAGUAAACGAUGAAUACUCGCUGUUUGCGAUAUACAGUAAGCGGCCAAGCGAAAGCAUUAAGUAUUCCACCUGGGGAGUACGCCGGCAACGGUGAAACUCAAAGGAAUUGACGGGGGCCCGCACAAGCGGAGGAACAUGUGGUUUAAUUCGAUGAUACGCGAGGAACCUUACCCGGGCUUAAAUUGCAACAGAAUAUAUUGGAAACAGUAUAGCCGUAAGGCUGUUGUGAAGGUGCUGCAUGGUUGUCGUCAGCUCGUGCCGUGAGGUGUCGGCUUAAGUGCCAUAACGAGCGCAACCCUUAUCUUUAGUUACUAACAGGUCAUGCUGAGGACUCUAGAGAGACUGCCGUCGUAAGAUGUGAGGAAGGUGGGGAUGACGUCAAAUCAGCACGGCCCUUACGUCCGGGGCUACACACGUGUUACAAUGGGGGGUACAGAAGGCGGCUACCUGGUGACAGGAUGCUAAUCCCAAAAACCUCUCUCAGUUCGGAUCGAAGUCUGCAACCCGACUUCGUGAAGCUGGAUUCGCUAGUAAUCGCGCAUCAGCCAUGGCGCGGUGAAUACGUUCCCGGGCCUUGUACACACCGCCCGUCAAGCCAUGAAAGCCGGGGGUACCUGAAGUACGUAACCGCAAGGAGCGUCCUAGGGUAAAACUGGUAAUUGGGGCU
rnacentral:rRNA from 1 species